rnacentral:rRNA from 1 species
GACGAACGCUGGCGGCGUGCUUAACACAUGCAAGUCGAACGGAAAGGCCCUGCUUUUGUGGGGUGCUCGAGUGGCGAACGGGUGAGUAACACGUGAGUAACCUGCCCUUGACUUUCGGAUAACUUCAGGAAACUGGGCUUAUACCGGUAAGGCAUACCACCUGCGUGGGGGGGGAUGGGAAGUUUGGGCCGUGGGGGAUAGGCUCGCGGGUUAUCAGCUUGGUUGUUGGGCAGUGGAUUACCCAGGCUGUGACGGGUAGCCGGCCUGAGAGGGUGAACGGCCACAUUGGGACUGAGAUACGGACCAGACUGCUACGGGAGGCAGCAGGGGGGAAUAUGGCACAGUGGGCGGAAGCCUGAUGCAGCAACGCCGCGUGCGGGAUGACGGCCUUCGGGUUGUAAACCGCUUUCGGCUGUGACGAAGCGUGAGUGACGGUAAUGGGUAAAGAAGCACCGGCUAACUACGUG